GAAGAUAUUGCCAGUUAUCAGAUUGUUUUAUCUGGGGAUGGUAAAAUUGCUGGAUUCCAGCCUACAAGUCGUGUUGCUGAAAGUCAAUGGGAAGCAAACCCUUUAGUGAAAGAGCUCUAUGGAACGGAAAAGCUUUCUCCUGACUUGAUAGAACAAGGUCUCAAGAGAAGCCGCGGCAGUGAUGCUGUUGUACUGGAAUUAUUG
rnacentral:misc_RNA from 1 species